GACGAACGCUGGCGGCGUGCUUAACACAUGCAAGUCGAGCGGUAAGGCCCUUUCGGGGGUACACGAGCGGCGAACGGGUGAGUAACACGUGGGUGACCUGCCCUCAGCUCUGGGAUAAGCCCGGGAAACUGGGUCUAAUACUGGAUAUGACUCCACGGUGCAUGCCGUGGGGUGGAAAGCCUUGUGCGGCUGAGGAUGGGCCCGCGGCCUAUCAGCUUGUUGGUGGGGUGAUGGCUACCAAGGCGACGACGGGUAGCCGGCCUGAGAGGGCGACCGGCCACACUGGGACUGAGACACGGCCCAGACUCCUACGGGAGGCAACAGUGGGGAAUCUUGCGCAAUGGGCGAAAGCCUGACGCAGCGACGCCGCGUGAGGGAUGACGGCCUCGGUUGUAAC
rnacentral:rRNA from 1 species